CCAGAUUCAAUAAAGUUGGCUCUUGCUUAUAUAUUUUGCUUACAAAUCUUGAACUGUUGGGAUUGACAAACCAGAAUUUCCCGUUGUGACAAUUUACUAAAAUUGUUUGGGUGAAAUCAGCUAUGUGCACAUUGGAAAUCAGACAGCACAUCAUCUUUCAUAGAACAACAACUCUGUUAAAAAAAAAACCUGGUCCACAUUUCACCUUAAAAAGUCAGAAAUAGGCACUUUCUGUCUGCAUGAUAACCUCGCUGGACUAUGCAUAGUAAGUAAAUGGCUACAUUCUAGUAGUGGAUAGGGGCAAAAGAAUUUUGAGGGACUUUAGGGGAGAAAUAAACGGCUUAAAUUUCUGCAAAUUUCCUUAAGACAACAUCGUGAAUAUGCAAAAAUAGAAGAAAAACUGAGUUUACUCAUUGAGAGGAGAGUUCUGGGGGAGGGAGCUUCAGAAAGGAAUCUGAUGAAUCACUGUCAUUCUUCCACUAAAAUAUACAAGGGUGAGGGUGGGGUUACUUUUUUACUCCACUUUAUUAUUUUUAUAAAUAACUUAGGGUGGCAAAUAUCCCUAAUAUUCUUUCCUCUUAUUUUCCCCACAACAAUUCUGUGAGGUGAGUUGGGCUGAGUGACAGAAUAAAAUGUGUAUUUCAUGGAGCCCGUAUGUUACAGAAGGACCAGAGUACAUUGUUUUAUCUAUCUUCUAAUUAG